rnacentral:tRNA from 1 species
AGUGGCGUCGCCAAGCGGUAAGGCAGCAGGUUUUGAUCCUGCCAUGCGUUGGUUCGAAUCCAGCCGCCCCUGCCA